UCUGCAAGUACAAAAACAAAGCCAAAACUCAGACUUUUUAGGCAACUUAGAAAUCCCGGCCAGGGCAUAUCCAGGAAAAAGAG